GUGGUGCGACGAACCAGGGCUUGCCCUGGGGCAGAGCCGCGAACGGGUGUGUAACACGUGGGCAACCUGCCCCGAUGACUGGGACAACCCGGGGAAACCCGGGCUAAUACCGGAUGUGCUCCCUCACACCAGUGAGGUGAGCAAAGGAAGCUUCGGCCUCCGCAUUGGGAUGGGCCCGCGGCCCAUUAGCUUGUUGGUGGGGUAAUGGCCUACCAAGGCAACUAUGGGUAGCUGGUCUGAGAGGACGAUCAGCCACACUGGGACUGAGACACGGCCCAGACUCCUACGGGAGGCAGCAGUGGGGAAUCUUGCGCAAUGCGCGAAAGCGUGACGCAGCAACGCCGCGUGGGGGAAGAAGGCCUUCGGGUUGUAAACCCCUUUCAGUUGGGACGAAGGUCGGGUGGUUAAUAGCCAUUCCGACUGACGGUACCUUCACAAGAAGCUCCGGCUAACUACGUGCCAGCAGCCGCG
rnacentral:rRNA from 1 species